CACCAGGUUGAUUCUGCCUGACGUAGACGCUAUUCCCUAAGAUUAACCCAUGCAUGUUUUUGACAUUUGAAAAAUGGACUGCUCAGUAAUACUCACUUUAUUUUAUGUAAAUUUUUGAUUAAUUAACUACGUUAAAGUGUAGAUAAGAUGUUUACAGUAAGAGUGAGACCUAUCAGCUAGUUGUUAAGGUAAUGGCUUAACAAGGCUGUGACGGGUAACGGUAUUACUUUGUAAUAUUCCGGAGAAGGAGCCUGAGAGACGGCUACUAAGUCUAAGGAUUGCAGCAGGGGCGAAACUUGACCUAUGGAUUUUAUCUGAGGCAGUUAUGGGAAGUAAUAUUAUAUUGUUUCAUAUUUUAAAAGUAUAUGAGGUGAUUAAUUGGAGGGCAAAUCAAGUGCCAGCAGCCGCGGUAAUACUUGUUCCAAGAGUGUGUAUGAUGAUUGAUGCAGUUAAAAAGUCCGUAGUUUAUUUUUUUAAGAAGCAAUAUGAGGUGUACUGUAUAGUUGGGAGAAAGAUGAAAUGUGACGACCCUGACUGGACGAACAGAAGCGAAAGCU
rnacentral:rRNA from 1 species